UACAGGAGAGACAACUAAGGCGCAAGACAGUUGUAUUCCUUUCCACUGGUCAGAGGCCUCAUGAGUGGAGAGUAUUGGAUUUGAUGUGUGUUGGGAGAAUCAGGGAAAUUGUUGUAAUUGAUAUUGUCAACAGAGGACACUUUCUGCAGCACUGGGUGUAUCAUUCUUCUGCCAACCCAUUCACUGAAGGAUUUCCUGUGGAGAGCUCCCCCCAGAGGAAGAAAGCUUUAUGGGGGAGUAACCAUCAUGCAGAACAGGAAGCAUGGAUAGUCAAUAAGCAUAUAAAGGAUGCUCAGCCUCAUCAUUAACUUGAGAGUGAGAUGCAUUUCAUGAACCUACCAGAUUGGUAAAAAUGUAAAAGUCUGAUAAAACCAAGUGUUUGCACAGAUCCACAGCAACAGGAACAUUUCUUUGGUUUCUGGGAAGAGUGUAAAGUGUUACAACCUCUCUGUAACAUAAAUUGUGCAUCAUCUAGUGAAUCUGAAUAUUUGAAUACUUAAAACCUUACAAUUCUGAAUGGAUUUAUACUCUAGAGAAACUCUUCUACACAUUCAUAAGAAGAAUGUACAAUAAUGUUCAUAUUGUUUGAAAUGAACAAUAACGCUCAUAUU
ensembl:lincRNA uncharacterized LOC102009454